GUAGGGGGCAAGCGUUAUCCGGAUUUACUGGGCGUAAAGCGCGUGCAGGCGGCUUGGUAGGUUGGACGUGAAAGCUCUCGGCUCAACUGAGAGAGGCCGUUCAAUACCGCCAGGCUUGAGGGCGGAAGAGGAGAGUGGAAUUCCCGGUGUAGUGGUGGAAUGCGUAGAUAUCGGGAGGAACACCCGUGGCGAAGGCGGCUCUCUGGUCCGUACCUGACGCUAAAGCGCGAAAGCGUGGGGAGCAAACGGGAUUAGAUACCCCGGUAGUCCACGCUGUAAACGAUGGAUGCUAGGUGUAGGUGGUAUUGACCCCCAUCUGUGCCGUAGCUAACGCGAUAAGCAUCCCGCCUGGGGACUACGGCCGCAAGGUUA
rnacentral:rRNA from 1 species